CGUGUCCUGCAAGGAAAAGAGAGGCAGUUUCAACUUCUUGUCCAUCUCUUCUUCCCUUUCAGAAAACCCAGUCCAGGGACUCCUCAGAGACUGAAUGAUCUGCUUCCAACUGAUAAAGAAGGCCCUCUUUGGGCUUUUAUUCUUAAUACUAACUGUUUCCUCAGGUCUUUCCAGAAUGGAAAGUCAAAUAGACCUGCCUGAAUGUAUCAAGUAUUUAAACCAACCGUCAUACCACUGCACCCAAGAGUACAAUCCUAUCUGUGCCCAGAAUGGUAUAACAUAUAAAAAUGAAUGCGUAUUUUGCAGUGCAAUGAGGCCCGAUGUAUCUAUUCUUCGAUUUAAGCACUUUGGUCGGUGCUGACUCCUUGGUAUUCAAAGCCUGUGUACUGCCAUGACUUCUAAGGCUUGGUAUAUCCUAUACCAGUCAUGUUCUCCUCACCUAGUACCAGGAAGUUGGUAGUUACUAAUUCUUUUUUGUCUGAAUAUUGUAAGAAAAAGCA
rnacentral:lncRNA from 1 species